rnacentral:rRNA from 1 species
CCUACGGGAGGCAGCAGUGGGGAAUAUUGCACAAUGGGGGAAACCCUGAUGCAGCGACGCCGCGUGAGCGAUGAAGUAUUUCGGUAUGUAAAGCUCUAUCAGCAGGGAAGAAAAUGAUGGUACCUGACUAAGAAGCCCCGGCUAACUACGUGCCAGCAGCCGCGGUAAUACGUAGGGGGCAAGCGUUAUCCGGAUUUACUGGGUUGAAAGGGAGCGUAGACGGUCCUGCAAGCCAGAGGUGAAAGCCCGGGGCUCAACCCCGGGACUGCAUUUGGAACUGUAAGGCUAGAGUGUCGGAGAGGCAGGCGGAAUUCCUAGUGUAGCGGUGAAAUGCGUAGAUAUUAGGAGGAACACCAGUGGCGAAGGCGGCCUGCUGGACGAUGACUGACGUUGAGGCUCGAAAGCGUGGGGAGCAAACAGGAUUAGAUACCCGAGUAGUC